rnacentral:rRNA from 1 species
CCUACGGGUGGCAGCAGUGAGGAAUAUUGGUCAAUGGACGAGAGUCUGAACCAGCCAAGUAGCGUGAAGGAUGAUUGCCCUAUGGGUUGUAAACUUCUUUUAUAUGGGAAUAAAAUGUUCCACGUGUGGGAUUUUGUAUGUACCAUAUGAAUAAGGAUCGGCUAACUCCGUGCCAGCAGCCGCGGUAAUACGGAGGAUCCGAGCGUUAUCCGGAUUUAUUGGGUUUAAGGGGAGCGUAGGUGGAUUGUUAAGUCAGUUGUGAAAGUUUGCGGCACAACCGUAAAAUUGCAGUUGAAACUGGCAGUCUUGAGUACAGUAGAGGUGGGCGGAAUUCGUGGUGUAGCGGUGAAAUGCUUAGAUAUCACGAAGAACUCCGAUUGCGAAGGCAGUUCACUGGACUGCAACUGACACUGAGGCUCGAAAGUGUGGGUAUCAAACAGGAUUAGAUACCCCGGUAGUC